GUGAUCUAGCCAUGGGCAGGUUGAAGGUUGGGUAACACUAACUGGAGGACCGAACCGACUAAUGUUGAAAAAUUAGCGGAUGACUUGUGGCUGGGGGUGAAAGGCCAAUCAAACCGGGAGAUAGCUGGUUCUCCCCGAAAGCUAUUUAGGUAGCGCCUCGUGAAUUCAUCUCCGGGGGUAGAGCACUGUUUCGGCAAGGGGGUCAUCCCGACUUACCAACCCGAUGCAAACUGCGAAUACCGGAGAAUGUUAUCACGGGAGACACACGGCGGGUGCUAACGUCCGUCGUGAAGAGGGAAACAACCCAGACCGCCAGCUAAGGUCCCAAAGUCAUGGUUAAGUGGGAAACGAUGUGGGAAGGCCCAGACAGCCAGGAUGUUGGCUUAGAAGCAGCCAUCAUUUAAAGAAAGCGUAAUAGCUCACUGGUCGAGUCGGCCUGCGCGGAAGAUGUAACGGGGCUAAACCAUGCACCGAAGCUGCGGCAGCGACACUGUGUGUUGUUGGGUAGGGGAGCGUUCUGUAAGCCUGUGAAGGUGUGCUGUGAGGCAUGCUGGAGGUAUCAGAAGUGCGAAUGCUGACAUAAGUAACGAUAAAGCGGGUGAAAAGCCCGCUCGCCGGAAGACCAAGGGUUCCUGUCCAACGUUAAUCGGGGCAGGGUGAGUCGACCCCUAAGGCGAGGCCGAAAGGCGUAGUCGAUGGGAAACAGGUUAAUAUUCCUGUACUUGGUGUUACUGCGAAGGGGGGACGGAGAAGGCUAUGUUGGCCGGGCGACGGUUGUCCCGGUUUAAGCGUGUAGGCUGGUUUUCCAGGCAAAUCCGGAAAAUCAAGGCUGAGGCGUGAUGACGAGGCACUACGGUGCUGAAGCAACAAAUGCCCUGCUUCCAGGAAAAGCCUCUAAGCAUCAGGUAACAUCAAAUCGUACCCCAAACCGACACAGGUGGUCAGGUAGAGAAUACCAAGGCGCUUGAGAGAACUCGGGUGAAGGAACUAGGCAAAAUGGUGCCGUAACUUCGGGAGAAGGCACGCUGAUAUGUAGGUGAAGUCCCUCGCGGAUGGAGCUGAAAUCAGUCGAAGAUACCAGCUGGCUGCAACUGUUUAUUAAAAACACAGCACUGUGCAAACACGAAAGUGGACGUAUACGGUGUGACGCCUGCCCGGUGCCGGAAGGUUAAUUGAUGGGGUCAGCGCAAGCGAAGCUCUUGAUCGAAGCCCCGGUAAACGGCGGCCGUAACUAUAACGGUCCUAAGGUAGCGAAAUUCCUUGUCGGGUAAGUUCCGACCUGCACGAAUGGCGUAAUGAUGGCCAGGCUGUCUCCACCCGAGACUCAGUGAAAUUGAACUCGCUGUGAAGAUGCAGUGUACCCGCGGCAAGACGGAAAGACCCCGUGAACCUUUACUAUAGCUUGACACUGAACAUUGAGCCUUGAUGUGUAGGAUAGGUGGGAGGCUUUGAAGUGUGGACGCCAGUCUGCAUGGAGCCGACCUUGAAAUACCACCCUUUAAUGUUUGAUGUUCUAACGUGGACCCGUGAUCCGGGUUGCGGACAGUGUCUGGUGGGUAGUUUGACUGGGGCGGUCUCCUCCUAAAGAGUAACGGAGGAGCACGAAGGUUGGCUAAUCCUGGUCGGACAUCAGGAGGUUAGUGCAAUGGCAUAAGCCAGCUUGACUGCGAGCGUGACGGCGCGAGCAGGUGCGAAAGCAGGUCAUAGUGAUCCGGUGGUUCUGAAUGGAAGGGCCAUCGCUCAACGGAUAAAAGGUACUCCGGGGAUAACAGGCUGAUACCGCCCAAGAGUUCAUAUCGACGGCGGUGUUUGGCACCUCGAUGUCGGCUCAUCACAUCCUGGGGCUGAAGUAGGUCCCAAGGGUAUGGCUGUUCGCCAUUUAAAGUGGUACGCGAGCUGGGUUUAGAACGUCGUGAGACAGUUCGGUCCCUAUCUGCCGUGGGCGCUGGAGAACUGAGGGGGGCUGCUCCUAGUACGAGAGGACCGGAGUGGACGCAUCACUGGUGUUCGGGUUGUCAUGCCAAUGGCACUGCCCGGUAGCUAAAUGCGGAAGAGAUAAGUGCUGAAAGCAUCUAAGCACGAAACUUGCCCCGAGAUGAGUUCUCCCUGACCCUUUAAGGGUCCUGAAGGAACGUUGAAGACGACGACGUUGAUAGGCCGGGUGUGUAAGCGCAGCGAUGCGUUGAGCUAACCGGUACUAAUGAACCGUGAGGCUUAACCUUACAACGCCGAAGGUGUUU
rnacentral:rRNA from 1 species